AAUCAACGCUGGCGGCGUGCCUCAGACAUGCAAGUCGAACGCGAAAGUCCCCUUCGGGGGGCAAGUAGAGUGGCGCACGGGUGAGUAACACGUAGGUAAUCUACCUUUGGAUGGGGAAUAACAACCGGAAACGGUUGCUAAUACCGCAUAAUGCAGCGGCACCUAAUGGUGACAGUUGUUAAAGCGGGGGAUCGAAAGACCUCGCGUCUGAAGAGGAGCCUGCGGCGGAUUAGCAGUUGGUAAGGUAACGGCUUACCAAGGCAACGAUCCGUAGCCGGCCUGAGAGGGGCGGUCGGCCACACUGACACUGACAUACGGGUCAGACUCCUACGGGAGGCAGCAGGUCGGGAAUUUUGGGCAAUGGGCGAAAGCCUGACCCAGCAACGCCG
rnacentral:rRNA from 1 species